CUGCUGUGAUGAUUUCUUAGGACACCUUUGGAUUAUCCAUGAAAAGAAACAAGAAUUCUGAGCAGC